rnacentral:sRNA from 1 species
AUUUAGUGUAAGUAAAAGUCGUAACAAGGUUUCCGUAGGUGAACCUGCGGAAGGAUCAUUACAGAGUUCAUGCCCUCACGGGUAGAUCUCCCACCCUUGAAUACCUUACCUUUGUUGCUUUGGCGGGCCACGUUCGCGUGUCGGCUUCGGCUGGCUGUGCCCGCCAGAGGCCCCAAACUCUUUUUGUUUAGUGAUGUCUGAGUACUAUAUAAUAGUUAAAACUUUCAACAACGGAUCUCUUGGUUCUGGCAUCGAUGAAGAACGCAGCGAAAUGCGAUAAGUAAUGUGAAUUGCAGAAUUCAGUGAAUCAUCGAAUCUUUGAACGCACAUUGCGCCCCUUGGUAUUCCGAGGGGCAUGCCUGUUCGAGCGUCAUUAUGACCACUCAAGCCCGGCGUGGUGUUGGGGUCCGCGGUCCCGCGGCCCUUAAAAUCAGUGGCGGCGCCAUCUGGCUCUAAGCGUAGUAAUACUCCUCGCUAUAGGGUCCCGGUGGAUGCUUGCCAUCAACCCCCAAUCUCACGGUUGACCUCGGAUCAGGUAGGGAUACCCGCUGAACUUAAGCAUAU